rnacentral:rRNA from 1 species
AGCAGCCGCGGUAAUUCCAGCUCCAAUAGCGUAUAUUAAAGUUGUUGCAGUUAAAAAGCUCGUAGUUGAAUUUCGGGGUUAGUAGGUUGGUCAUGCCUCUGGUAUGUACUGGUCUCACUGAUUCCUCCUUCCUGAUGAACCUUAAUGCCAUUAAUUUGGUGUUUUGGGGAAUUUGGACUGUUACUUUGAAAAAAUUAGAGUGUUUAAAGCAAGCUAACGCUUGAAUACAUUAGCAUGGAAUAAUGAAAUAGGACGUUCGAUCCUAUUUUGUUGGUUUCUAGGAUUGACGUAAUGAUUAAUAGGGAUAGUUGGGGGCAUUAGUAUUCAAUUGUCAGAGGUGAAAUUCUUGGAUUUAUUGAAGACUAACUACUGCGAAAGCAUUUGCCAAGGAUGUUUUCAUUAAUCAAGAACGAAAGUUAGGGGAUCGAAGACGAUCAGAUACCGUCGUAGUCUUAACCAUAAACUAUGCCGACUAGAGAUCGGAUGAUGUUAAUUUUUAAUGACUCAUUCGGCGCCUUAC